rnacentral:rRNA from 1 species
AACGAUAAGGUCUCUUCGCAGAUCAUUAGUGGCGGACGGGUGAGUACACGUAGGAAAUCUGCCUCAAGGAGGGGGAUAUACCGGGAAACUGGUGCUAAUACCCCAUAUGUCAUAGCUUGAAAUAGUUAUGAUGAAAGUUCCGGCGCCUUGAGAUGAGCCUGCGUCUGAUUAGCUAGUUGGUGGGGUAAUUGGCUAACAAG